rnacentral:rRNA from 1 species
CCUACGGGUGGCAGCAGUGGGGAAUAUUGCACAAUGGGGGAAACCCUGAUGCAGCGACGCCGCGUGAGUGAAGAAGUAAUUCGUUACGUAAAGCUCUAUCAGCAGGGAAGAAAGAAAUGACGGUACCUGACUAAGAAGCCCCGGCUAACUACGUGCCAGCAGCCGCGGUAAUACGUAGGGGGCAAGCGUUAUCCGGAUUUACUGGGUGUAAAGGGAGCGUAGACGGCGAUGCAAGUCUGAAGUGAAAGGCGGGGGCCCAACCCCCGGACUGCUUUGGAAACUGUAUGGCUGGAGUGCAGGAGAGGUAAGUGGAAUUCCUAGUGUAGCGGUGAAAUGCGUAGAUAUUAGGAGGAACACCAGUGGCGAAGGCGGCUUACUGGACUGUAACUGACGUUGAGGCUCGAAAGCGUGGGGAGCAAACAGGAUUAGAUACCCCAGUAGUC